AUGCGUCUACUGCAACAAGGCAUUCACAGCCUCCAGCAUCCUGCGCACGCACAUCCGCCAGCACUCUGGAGAGAAGCCCUUCAAGUGCAAGCACUGCGGCAAAGCCUUCGCCUCGCACGCCGCCCACGACAGCCACAUGCGGCGCACGCACAGCAGGGACAAGGGCUGCACUUGCUCGCUGUGCGGCCAGCACUUCCCCGAGCAGGAGGAUUACCACUUCCACAUGAAGAGCCAUGCUGCUCAUUAGUCAAAGGUGGAUGGGUCCUGGACCAGCUUCAUGUGUGUAUUUGUGUAUGUGCAUGUGUGUGCACACCGCAGGAGGUGACAUUUACCCUCGCGAUGUGGGUCCCAAGCUCCUCUCUAAGCGCAGGGCACUGGCUUAUCUUACUGGGUACCCUGGCUCCACGCUGGGGUGAACUCCGACAUGCACUAACCCUUCCUCCCCUUCCUGCGCUCUCAUUUUCACAGCCAGGAGUGAAUGCCACCUCCCACGAACCUUUCAUGUGUGAAUAUCACUGUGAUGGAUGUUACCAUACCUCUAACGCACCAGUCUAUGGACUGCCUGCUGCUGUCCAUGCCGAAGCUCAUGUAAGGGAUUUUUUUAGCAAGUGUGUUUACCAAAGCCAAUUUAGCCUAUUUGUUUCAGCACAUGAGCAGGUGUAGGGCCUAUCUCCCCAUAUUAUGGAAGCUCCUUAAUGACUCCCUAAUUAAAUGCAAAUGUGGUGGGAGCAGCACAGGGGUAUUUAGAUCUGUUUGGCCACAGAGCCAGGUGAGCUGACCACAGGGAACUCCAGGACAGUGGCAUUGCUCUGGGGAUAGUGACACCACUUCAGGUCAGUGACACCAACCCUUCCUCAGCCUGUUCUGGCUGCAGUAGUGGUAUGGGGAAGACCAAACCUGAAGCUGUUCCCAAGCACCAGUGAGCUCCUAGGUGGGUCACCAGCGCUCCGGCAGUCUCAGAGAGGCUUUGCACUGAGCUCAGCACAGGCCAGGAGUUGACGUGAUCCCACCCAUGUGCUCUUCUGUUUGAGUCUCAAGGCACAAAGGUUUUUAAAUCAAGCCUGCGGUACCUCCAUUUAGGAAGGGGGAAAACUUUACCCUAAUCUUCAAUUUAAGAUAUGUAUGAUGGACAGUCCUGAGACUUCUCAACUCCAAAAGAUUUCUGCAUGUGAAAUUCCCUCCCCAGACCGUGGGAAUGUCUUCUCAUUUGUGGGAAGGCUGGAAGACCUCGCCCUCCUUUUCGCACUGGCCAGGCAAUAUGCAAGCAGGUCAGAACUGAUGUGUGCAGGCUUUCUAUUGAUUUCUUUUUCAUGAAGGGGAAGUCUUUGCUUAUGAAAAUGACAUUUGCUUUCUAUAAAAAAGCUACUCUAAGCUAUGGAUGAAUAUUUAAUCUAGGACCCUAAAACUGGUUUUCUUUUGCACUCUGACUUGGAGACUUGGAAUUGCUAUUCCAAGUUAGACAUCCUGUCCUUUCAUACCAACAAACUGACCCAGAUGAAAAGAAAUAAUUUUGGUGUAAAAUCCUAACUGAUUAGACCCCAAUUUUUGCAAAAGAUUUCCAUAAUAAUUAAGAACCUUUAACAAUGUGUCAUUCCCUGGCAAUGUGAAAGCUCACCUGGAGGUCUGUGCUGGUGGACCACUGUGUAUAGGGAGUGUCACGACUGGUGCAGAGGCCCCUAUCUGUCACUGCAUGAGCAGUGUGGUGGGUAGGGGUUUUCAUCUGCGAGGGGUUCCUGUGUCAUUGGGGUUGUUUCUUUGCAUCCAGGAGGGGUAAUAGAAGCCCUUGCUGGAGCUGAUUCAUUAAUGCAGAUGGUUUGAUGUCAUUGGGAUAAUAAAGUUCUCCUUUAAUAUCCUAGAUCA
ensembl:lncRNA